rnacentral:rRNA from 1 species
UACGAAGGGGGCUAGCGUUGUUCGGAAUUACUGGGCGUAAAGCGCACGUAGGCGGAUAUUUAAGUCAGGGGUGAAAUCCCAGAGCUCAACUCUGGAACUGCCUUUGAUACUGGGUAUCUUGAGUAUGGAAGAGGUAAGUGGAAUUGCGAGUGUAGAGGUGAAAUUCGUAGAUAUUCGCAGGAACACCAGUGGCGAAGGCGCUUGACUGGUCCUACUGACGCUGAGGUGGCGAAAGCGUGGGAGCAACAGG